rnacentral:rRNA from 1 species
UGCGUAGGCGGAAUAUUAAGUCAGUGGUGAAAUCCUGCGGCUCAACCGUAGAACUGCCAUUGAUACUGGUAUUCUUGAAUGUAGUUGAGGUAGGCGGAAUGUGUAAUGUAGCGGUGAAAUGCUUAGAUAUUACACAGAACACCGAUUGCGAAGGCAGCUUACUAAACUAUGAUUGACGCUGAUGCACGAAAGCGUGGGGAGCGAACAGGAUUAGAUACCCUGGUAGUCC